rnacentral:rRNA from 1 species
AACGUAGGACACAAGCGUUAUCCGGAGUUACUGGGCGUAAAGGGCGCGUAGGCGGUCUUGUAAGUCCUGUGUGAAAUCCCUCGGCUCAACUGAGGAACUGCACGGGAAACUGCUUGGCUUGAGUUCGGGAGAGGGAAGCGGAAUUCCUGGUGUAGCGGUGAAAUGCGCAGAUAUCAGGAGGAACACCGGUGGCGAAGGCGGGUCUCUGGGCCGAUACUGACGCUGAGGAGCGAAAGCGUGGGGAGCGAACAGG